rnacentral:rRNA from 1 species
UACGUAGGGGGCAAGCGUUGUCCGGAAUCAUUGGGCGUAAAGAGCGCGUAGGCGGUCCGGUAAGUCGGUUGUGAAAACUGGGGGCUCAACCCUCAGAGGCCGACCGAUACUGCCGGGCGAGAGUCCGGAAGAGGCGAGUGGAAUUCCUGGUGUAGCGGUGAAAUGCGCAGAUAUCAGGAGGAACACCGAUGGCGAAGGCAGGUCUCUGGGCAUUAACUGACGCUGAGGAGCGAAAGCAUGGGGAGCGAACAGG